CAGUGGACAUUAAUAAUAAAUUUAAUAAUUUUUAAAUGGUUUAAACGGCCGCUGUAUUCUGACGGUGAUAAUGUAGGAAAAUAAAUAGUUGUUUAAUUGGCGAACGUAGGUGAAUGGUUCUACGAGAGUUUCACUGUCUUAAAUGUAAGAAGAAAAAUUUAAAUAAUAGUGAAGAUGCUAUUUUAAACUGUAAGACGAAAAGACCCUAUAAAGCUUAACUAUUAUUCUAUUAAAAAGUAUUUUAUAGAUUAUAUAUAUAUUGAUACAAGUAGGAAAGAUAGUUUUGUUGGGGCAACAGCAUUCUAAAAAAAAAGAAUGUAAAUUUAAAUUAACUAAAUAAUUUAUUUUAUUGUUUAAUGUAUAAAUUUAACAAUCACAAAGUGGAUUAUAAUGACCUAUCCUUAAAAAAAAUUUUUAAGGAUAAUAAAUAAAUAAAAGCUACUUUAGGGAUAACAGGUUAAUUUAAUCUUAAAGAAGGCAUUGAAGAUUAAGUUUGACACCUCGAUGUUGAAUUAAGGUUACCUAGUAAGGCAGUUUUUACUAAAGGUUGGUCUGUUCGACCAUUAAUACCUUACAUGAUUUGAGUUCAUUCCGUA
rnacentral:rRNA from 1 species